rnacentral:ncRNA from 1 species
UUAAUAUAAAGCGCCUGGACAGUUUAUACUGUUGACGAGGACUAAAGUUAUCGAAAAAUUCGGCGGAUGCUUUAGUGGCAUAGCUACUGUCAUAGAUAUUAAUAAAAAACAAUAGUAAUAUUGUAACAGAGUUAAUAUUA